rnacentral:rRNA from 1 species
AUGGCUCAAGACGAGGUCCCGGAGUCCUCUUCCCCCUCUUCGGCGGCGGCUGGUCGCCUGAACGCCGCCGCGCCGGAGUUCACCCCCCGAUCCGCCGCCCCGCACCAAGCCCAUCCCCAUCGCCGCGGGCCCCACCAUCACCACCACCACCACCACCAGCCGCAUCACCAGCACCAGCACCAGUACCGCCACCAGCACCACCACCAGGGAGAGGAUGAGGGGGAUGCCGCGGCGGUGGUGGAUAACGCUCAGCUCGUCCUGCCCGAGGAGCUCGCUCGCCGGGUCGUCAAGCAGGUGGAAUUUUACUUCAGUGAUGUCAAUCUAGCCACAACUGACCAUCUGAUGAAGUAUAUUACUAAAGAUCCAGAUGGAUUUGUGCCGAUGACAGUGGUUGCAUCCUUCAGGAAGAUUCGAGAAUUAAUUGAUAGAUCCUUGUUGCCUGGUGCAUUACGUACAUCAACAGAGCUGGUAGUUUCAGAUGACGGGAAGAUGGUUAGGCGACGAGUGCCCUUCUCUGAUGUGGAUGCUGAAGAAGUUCAGUCUCGAAUUAUUGUUGCUGAAAAAUUACCUGAGGAUCAUCGCUAUCAGAAUCUUAUGAGGAUUUUCUCAACUGUUGGGAGUGUGAAAUCAAUACGUACUUGCUAUCCACAAGGGAUUGACAUUUCUGCCGGCAAAUCAUCAAGGAUUGAGAUGCUUUUUGCUAAUAAGCUGCAUGCUUUUGUGGAGUAUGGAACUGUUGAAGAUGCUGAAAAGGCGGUUGCCGAGUUUAGUGGCGGCAGAAACUGGAGGGAUGGGCCUAGAGUUCGUUCGCUGCUUGGUUGCCUGAAACAUGGGAUUGGUCAAGGAAGAAAAGGUGGAGAUGAGGAGGCUGCGGAUGAAGAUGACCCUGAAGAGUAUGAAGCAGAGGAUGCUGCCCAGGGUGAGGAUGGUUUCUAUGACAAAGCUGGAAUGAGGCAAGGGAGAGGCCGAGGACGUGGGGGAAGAGGCCGUGGCCGGGGCCAGUACCAUGGCCAGAGUCGGGAUGGCGGACAUCCAAUCGGCACUCCUCCAUCAAAUCACAGUGCUGAGCAUCCGGUGGUGUCAAAGCCGCCUCCUGGUCCGCGUAUGCCGGAUGGCACAAAAGGAUUUGCCAUGGGGCGAGGGAAGCCCCAGGUCAGCCCCGCAGUGCUGUCUGAUGUUUAG